AAGAAUGCAGCUAGGCCUUGUCAAUAUAAGGCCUAAAAAAGAAUGCACCUUUUAUUUUCUAAGGCACAGGUACAAUGGAGCUUGUGUACAUUUAGAGGAAAACGCGUACGGGAAUUACUGGUUUAUGAUGACCUCAAAACGAAAGGAUAACAAUCGACUAUAUACCAUGACUUGUGGCUUCAACUGGCACCAAAAUCAUAUUGCACAUUUAUUUGACGACUUAGUGGGUCGAACACCAAAGUCAAGGUCAAAGGGUCAAAAUUCAUGGCACCCACUACCCAAGGGAAAGUCCUAUUGCAAGAACCACACC